UACGUAGGGGGCAAGCGUUGUCCGGAUUUAUUGGGCGUAAAGAGCGUGUAGGCGGCCAUACAGGUCAGCUGUGAAAACUCGAGGCUCAACCUCGAGACGUCGGUUGAAACCGUAUGGCUAGAGUCCGGAAGAGGAGAGUGGAAUUCCUGGUGUAGCGGUGAAAUGCGCAGAUAUCAGGAGGAACACCAAUGGCGAAGGCAGCACUCUGGGACGGUACUGACGCUGAGACGCGAAAGCGUGGGGAGCAAACAGG
rnacentral:rRNA from 1 species